rnacentral:lncRNA from 10 species
GUAGCUUCAAGCCUUAAAGAAUCUGUCUCAAAAAACAAACAAGUAAAGAAUCCUAGUCUUGCGAUGAAACCUCUUCAAAAAAGAAACUCACAGACUUCCAUCUCCUGCUCCUCACACCUGGCUGAGCCUGCGUCAUUGGAAGCAAUGCAGUAGUACUGCCCAGAGUCGUCCUUGUGAACAGCAGUGAACACCUGUUUCAGGGAAUGACAAGUAAAUAAUCGGACCCAUCAUGGGGCCGAUUUCUGAGAGCACAGCCAGCUGGGUCCAGAACUAGGUCGACACCUGCUCGCUUGCUUUCAGCUUCCCCAGCACUGUGCAUGUUCCUCCCUGACCCACUCCCUGAUACCUGCCUGACAGCUCCCCAACAACCAAUCCCCUUGGGACUGGAGACACCAAAGCCUGGCAACAUCCGAAAUGGGAGGUGGAACCUUGCUUUUAUUCUGGUAAAAGGGCUCUUCAAUGAUGACUGCUCCUGGGGCAACAUUUUGGCAAAAUGAACACAGAGGACCCUGUUAAAAUCUGUCUGAUGACUACGUGGAACUGGAUGGUCCACAGAUCAGAAGGUACCUCCCAGGAGAGAACCACAUGCAGUAAAAGCCUGGUGUGGUUUGCUGGCCAGGUCACUUUGUCCUCUAGUGCAUGACCAAUCUGUUUCCUCUCCUCCCCCACCUCCCACCACCACCACUGGGUUAU